rnacentral:rRNA from 1 species
UGGGGAAUAUUGCACAAUGGGCGCAAGCCUGAUGCAGCCAUGCCGCGUGUGUGAAGAAGGCCUUCGGGUUGUAAAGCACUUUCAGCGAGGAGGAAGGUGGUGGACUUAAUACGUUCAUCAAUUGACGUUACUCGCAGAAGAAGCACCGGCUAACUCCGUGCCAGCAGCCGCGGUAAUACGGAGGGUGCAAGCGUUAAUCGGAAUUACUGGGCGUAAAGCGCACGCAGGCGGUUUGUUAAGUCAGAUGUGAAAUCCCCGGGCUCAACCUGGGAACUGCAUUUGAAACUGGCAAGCUAGAGUCUCGUAGAGGGGGGUAGAAUUCCAGGUGUAGCGGUGAAAUGCGUAGAGAUCUGGAGGAAUACCGGUGGCGAAGGCGGCCCCCCUGGACGAAGACUGACGCUCAGGUGCGAAAGCGUGGGGAGCAAAACAGGAUUAGAUACCCUGGUAGUCCACGCUGUAAACGAUGUCGAUUUGGAGGUUGUGCCCUUGAGGCGUGGCUUCCGGAGCUAACGCGUUAAAUCGACCGCCUGGGGAGUACGGCCGCAAGGUU